rnacentral:rRNA from 1 species
UUCCGGUUGAUCCCGCCGGAGGCCAUUGCUGUCGGAGUUCGAUUUAGCCAUGCUAGUCGUGCGGGUUCGGACCCGCGGCGAACAGCUCAGUAACACGUGGCCAAACUACCCCACGGACCAGGACACCCUCGGGAAACUGAGGCUAAUCCAGGAUAGCGCUUCUACGCUGGAAUGCCAGAAACGCGAAAUGCUCAGGCGCCAUAGGAUGUGGCUGCGGCCGAUUAGGUAGACGGUGGGAUAACGGCCCACCGUGCCGAUAAUCGGUACGGGUCAUGAGAGUGAGAGCCCGGAGACGGACUCUGAGACAAGAGUCCGGGCCCUAUGGGGUGCAGCAGGCGCGAACCCUUUACACUGCGCGCAAGCGCGAUAAGGGAACUCCGAGUGCGCGGAUAUCACAACGUCCGCGCUUUUGAACAGCGUACAAAGCUGUCCGAAUAAGAGCUGGGCAAGACCAGUGCCAGCCGCCGCGGUAACACUGGCAGCUCGAGUGAUGGUCGCGAUUAUUGGGCCUAAAGCGUCCGUAGCCGGCCGACCAGGUCCGUCGAGAAAUCCAGCGGCCUAACCGUUGGGCGAUCGGCGGAAACCGUUCGGCUUGGGACCGGAAGACCCGAGGGGUACGUCCGGGGUAGGAGUGAAAUCCCGUAAUCCUGGACGGACCACCGACAAGCGAAGGCACCUCGGGAGGACGGAUCCGACGGUGAGGGACGAAAGCUGGGAUUUCGAACCGGAUUAGAUACCCGGGUAGUCCCAGCCGUAAACGAUGCCCGUUAGACGUGGCGAUGGCCUCGAGCUGUCGCCGUGUCGUAGGGAAGCCGUUAAACGGGCCGCCUGGGAAGUACGGCCGCAAGGCUGAAACUUAAAGGAAUUGGCGGG